CACGUAGGCACCAAGCGUUGUCCGGAUUUAUUGGGCGUAAAGAGCUCGUAGGCGGUUCGGUAAGUCGGGUGUGAAAACUUUGGGCUUAACCCAAAGCGUGCAUCCGAUACUGCUGUGACUUGAGUUCGGUAGGGGAGUGGGGAAUUCCUAGUGUAGCGGUGAAAUGCGCAGAUAUUAGGAGGAACACCGGUGGCGAAGGCGCCACUCUGGGCCGAAACUGACGCUGAGGAGCGAAAGCGUGGGGAGCGAACAGG
rnacentral:rRNA from 1 species